GAUGAACGCUGGCGGCGUGCUUAACACAUGCAAGUCGAACGGUGAAGCCAAGCUUGCUUGGUGGAUCAGUGGCUAACUGGUGAGUAACACGUUAGCAAGCUGCCCUGGAGUCUUGGAUAAGCGGUGGAAACGGGGACUCAUACUGGAUAUGAGCCUCUUCCGCAAGAUGGGGGUUGGAAAGGUUUGUUGGUCUGGGAUGGGCGUGCGGCCUAUCGGCUUGUUGGUGAGGUAAUGGAUCACCACGGCGUGGACGGGUAGCCGGCCUGAGAGGGUGACAGGCCACACUGGCACUGGGACAGGGCCAGGACGCAUACGGGCGGCAGGAGUGAGAAAUAUUCCAAGCUGGGCGGCAGCCUGAUGCAGCACCGCCGCGUGGGAGAUGACGGUCUUCGGGUUGUAAACCUCAUUUAGCGGGGAAGAAGCGAAAGUGACGGUACCUGAAGAAAAAGCGACGGCUAACUACGUG
rnacentral:rRNA from 1 species